AAAUUGAAGAGUUUGAUCAUGGCUCAGAUUGAACGCUGGCGGCAGGCCUAACACAUGCAAGUCGAACGGUAACAGGAAGCGCUUGCUGCUUCGCUGACGAGUGGCGGACGGGUGAGUAAUGUCUGGGAAACUGCCUGAUGGAGGGGGAUAACUACUGGAAACGGUAGCUAAUACCGCAUAACGUCGCAAGACCAAAGAGGGGGACCUUCGGGCCUCUUGCCAUCGGAUGUGCCCAGAUGGGAUUAGCUUGUUGGUGGGGUAACGGCUCACCAAGGCGACGAUCCCUAGCUGGUCUGAGAGGAUGACCAGCCACACUGGAACUGAGACACGGUCCAGACUCCUACGGGAGGCAGCAGUGGGGAAUAUUGCACAAUGGGCGCAAGCCUGAUGCAGCCAUGCCGCGUGUAUGAAGAAGGCCUUCGGGUUGUAAAGUACUUUCAGCGGGGAGGAAGGAAGUAAAGUUAAUACCUUUGCUCAUUGACGUUACCCGCAGAAGAAGCACCGGCUAACUCCGUGCCAGCAGCCGCGGUAAUACGGAGGGUGCAAGCGUUAAUCGGAAUUACUGGGCGUAAAGCGCACGCAGGCGGUUUGUUAAGUCAGAUGUGAAAUCCCCGGGCUCAACCUGGGAACUGCAUCUGAUACUGGCAAGCUUGAGUCUCGUAGAGGGGGGUAGAAUUCCAGGUGUAGCGGUGAAAUGCGUAGAGAUCUGGAGGAAUACCGGUGGCGAAGGCGGCCCCCUGGACGAAGACUGACGCUCAGGUGCGAAAGCGUGGGGAGCAAACAGGAUUAGAUACCCUGGUAGUCCACGCCGUAAACGAUGUCGACUUGGAGGUUGUGCCCUUGAGGCGUGGCUUCCGGAGCUAACGCGUUAAGUCGACCGCCUGGGGAGUACGGCCGCAAGGUUAAAACUCAAAUGAAUUGACGGGGGCCCGCACAAGCGGUGGAGCAUGUGGUUUAAUUCGAUGCAACGCGAAGAACCUUACUUGGUCUUGACAUCCACGGAAGUUUUCAGAGAUGAGAAUGUGCCUUCGGGAACCGUGAGACAGGUGCUGCAUGGCUGUCGUCAGCUCGUGUUGUGAAAUGUUGGGUUAAGUCC
rnacentral:rRNA from 1 species